rnacentral:rRNA from 1 species
UAGGGAAUCUUCCGCAAUGGACGAAAGUCUGACGUAGCAACGCCGCGUGAGUGAUGAAGGCUUUCGGGUCGUAAAACUCUGUUGUUAGGGAAGAACAAGUGCUAGUUGAAUAAGCUGGCACCUUGACGGUACCUAACCAGAAAGCCACGGCUAACUACGUGCCAGCAGCCGCGGUCAUACGUAGGUGGCAAGCGUUCUCCGGAAUUAUUGGGCGUAAAGCGCGCGCAGGUUGUUUCUUAAGUAUGAUGUGAAAGCCCACGGCUCAACCGUGGAGGGUCAUUGGAAACUGGGAGACUGGAGUGGAGAAGAGGAAAGUGGAAUUCCAUGUGUAGCGGUGAAAUGCGUAGAGAAAUGGAGGGACACCGGUGGCGAAGGCGGCUGUCUGGUCUGUAACUGACACUGAGGCGCGAAAGGGUGGGGAGCAAACAGG